rnacentral:lncRNA from 1 species
GUCCGAGUCUCUGGUUGGCCCUCAAAACUCUGCCCAGGCCACCGACUCUGCUCCACACCCUCCUUGAGUGCUUUCACAUGGCCAGAAAGUGCCCUUGAACUGUGGGGAGAGAGGGCUGCGUUUGCCUGCAGAAACCUCUGGCGCCUGUGGAGCUGGAAGGCAGGUUACUGUGCAAAGGUGAGAACCGUCUCUGUCAGUUCACCCGCUUUUGUCUUUGCCUUCUCCCACCACUGCCAUGCAACCCCAGGAAGGGUCAGGGGCCCAUGAGGAAAUGUGCCCCUCGGGCCACAGAAGGGCUCCCCACCCUUGUGCUUGAGCUGCUAAUUGAGAACAGAAAUGCCAUAGCCUGGAUCUUCCCAUCAGAAUCAGAUUUGAUAUGGGGGACGGGACCUGCAGCCUUCCAGGUAUUGCUGGCUUCCCAGUUCCUGGCAGACCCAGCAAGCAGACCAGCUCAUAAUCAGGCAGGACAAGAGUUCUAGACCAGCAGCAUCUGGGGAGCCAAAGGUUGGUUCCACCUGCCGAUAUAUGACCACCAUUAAGAGAGAUAGCUUUCAGAAAUGUGGCACCAGGUAAUACCGAGAAUGCGUAUUGCUACUGAUAGUCGCCCAGUAAACAAUGGCUACUGAUAGCUACAAAAUAAAAACAAUUAACCUUGCGGAGAUAGCGCUACAGUGGUCCCUCUCUUAGAACUUGUGGGGGGCUUGCCACCUUUGUUCUGUUAAAAUACAAGACAGGGCAGGGCAAUUGGGGGCGAUUUAUUUUUUCAUCUGUUGCUGACGUGACUUCAAAGCAAUCCAUUACAAUCUAUUGCAGCCUAACAGGGUGGCCUUCUGGGACUGGUCCGAGUUUGGCUACCCAGAGCUUAAAUACAUGACCUUUUCGAACACAUACAUUUGGAGAGGAUCCCUAACUUGGCAUAGACAGAAAAGACCUGAAAUACAGGACAAACUGUAUCAAUGCGGGACAAAAUACGGGACAAUCCUGUAUUAUACAGGACAGGUGACAACCCUAGGUAGGGGUGGCAUGGGGGGGGGUUAAAGAAAGAAGUCAAUCCAGCCAAGGCUCGUGCCUUCUCAUUUCAUUUCUCUAUUUUCUUUAAAGCUGUACUGUUCCAAUAGAACAUGGCUUUAGCAUUGCUCAAACGGGCAUUCUCACACGGAGAGCAGCCAGCCACUAUUUUUAGUUCCAAUUCUCGUUACCUUGACACGGGCCAUUGGUUCUAAUGCCAAUUACCAUACAAGGCUAUUACUGAGCCUGAGAUAAUGCAUUUUUCAUUCUUGGUCCUUACAGGUGUUCGGCUCAAGGUCACACUGGCGGCCUUUGUUGCCGCCAGCAAAAGAAGACUCCUUGUUAUCUAUACUCUAUUCCGUUCAGGAGCAAGAAAAGGUACAAAACAGAAUCAGGAAAUCGUAGGCUGCCUGCUCCUGACCCAUCCUUCAAAUAUUAAGUCUCUAAAAACAUUCCAAUGGGUUCCAGGAUGGUGCUUUAAAAACCACCACAACAAUAGUACAGUCAUACCUCGGGUUACAGACGCUUCAGGUUGCAUUUUUUCAGGUUACGGACGCGCCAAAACCCGGAAGUACCGGAAUGGGUUACUUCCGGGUUUCGGCGGUUGCACAUGCGCAGAAGCACUAAAUCGCACUUUGUGAAUGUGCAGAAGCGCUGAAUUGCAACCCACGCAUGCGCAGACGCGCCACUGCGGGUUGCAAACGUGCAUCCCACACAGAUCACGUUCGCAACCCGAGCGUCCACUGUAUUUCCCGAUACAUUUUGGGCACAAGCUGUUCUUCAUGGAAAAAAUCUUUGAAUAAUGAAAACCAAAGUAGCUAACAAUCACUUUAAGAAUAUGGCCCCAUGACAUUGUUUCCCCCCAAAAUCUCUAACAGCAGCUUAUUGGGAUGGGGAGACAAGCAACCCUUUUUGCAAAGUACAAUUGAAGGCCCAUUUCACCUCCUAAAAGGGCUGAAAGAGUAAGAAUUAUCUAUCUCCACUGAUAUCCCGUUUUCUGUUUUACUUUUUCGGUGGAAGGGAGCAGGGCUGCAGCCAACAAUGAUUUAGCAUGGUAAAGGUAAAGGGACCCCUGACCAUUAGGUCCAGUCGUGACCGACUCUGGGGUUGCGGCGCUCAUCUCGCUUUAUUACAGCUUCCGGGUCAUGUGGCCAGCAUGACUAAGCCGCUUCUGGCGAACCAGAGCAGCGCACGGAAACGCUGUUUACCUUCCUGCCAAAGCGGUACCUAUUUAUCUACUUGCAUUUUGACGUGCUUUUCAACUGCUAGGUUGGCAGGAGCAGGAACCGAGCAACGGGAGCUCACUCCGUCGAGGGGAUUCAAACCGCUGACCUUCUGAUCGGCAAGUCCUAGGCUCUGUGGUUUAACCCACAGCACCACCCGCGUCCCCCUAAAAGGUGCUGCUUGUGAGAUACACAUGUUUUGAUUCUGUGUGCUUGUCACAAACAUACCCACUUGCUUCAUAGCGCCUUAACUUGCUACUGGUAUCCAGUUAAGUGGGUAUUUACAAGCCUUAAGGGUAGUUUCUUUCACAAUCUAGCCCAUUAAACUAAUUUUCAUAGGGGUAGUCUUGUGAGUCUCUUGCAGCAAAAACAACAGUCUUGUGACAUUUUAAAUUCUAAACAUUUAUCAUCUAGAAUUUUAUCACUUUAAAGUCUUUUUUUCUUUCUUUCAAGGAUUGCUAUCAGCUUCGUCAAGUGUGUAAAGUGAUGUCCUGUGGGUUUAGAAGCAUCCAAUAGACAGCUCAGAUCCACCUCACACCAGGUGGGUUAGAAGCCAGGAGGAAGAAAUUAUGUGACACAGAGAGAGAGCAGGAGGCAGAGAAAUGGCCAGUGUCUGUUUGAAUCCAACGCUGCGCUUAGAGAGAAGGCAAGAAGACCCUCUUAGUAUGUGACUGCUCUGCACUCUCCAUCUAGGCUUAGGUUGUAUAUAUGUGGAAUUAAACCAUAUAUCAUAAAGACACCACAGUCUCCACUGUGUGUCAUUUCCAAAAGGAAACACAGACCCUGGAGAAGUGCCUGGGACCCCUGGAAUUUCACGCCACUCAGAGAUUGGGGUGGCAUGAAGCACUAUUAUGUGGCUGUUGUUGCUCCACUUCAUUCAUUCAUGCCAGACCUUCCAAGUGUCCUUAUUUUCCAGGGACAGCCCUGGAUUUACAGAAUCUGAUUUGAUCCUAGAAUGUCCCACUUUUCCUUAGGACGUCCCUAUUUUCAUUGGAGAAAUGUAGGAGGGUGUGGAGUUAUGCGACCCCUGAGCUAAGUAACUAAACAACCUUUAGAAGACCUCUGAAGGCACCUCUGUAUAGGGACAUUUUUUAACGUCUAAUGUUUUAUUAUGUUUUUAUAUACGCUGGAAGCCGCCCAGAGUGGGUAUGUCGUGUCGAAGAUGUUGGUUCUACCUAUCCCUCCAUUCAAUACUGGGAGAUUUGGCUGCAGUUUCCUUGUUCUUUGUUUACAAGACUGGAUGGUUUAUUAUUUUAUGUUGAAAAUUAACACAGUCAUUUUAAUGGGCUUCCAAAUAUAGAUGUUUUCAAUAGAACGCCUGUCUUUUGAGGGAAAGUUGGAGCUGAAUUUUACCUUGAUUUUUUUGUCUGUUUAGUUUAAUGUAUUAGUAGUACACAUAUGUUCACUAACACAUGAUAUAAAAAAUGUUAGAAGCCCUACUAAAUAUACACAUGUACACCUCACCCAAAAAUACAAACAAUAUAAGAAGUAAUGGAUAAUAUAUUUUUAUUCUUGUUAAAAAAAAGAAACACACACACUCAACAGAAAGAAAAUUGAAAUGCUUGAGAGUCUUAGUGAGCCAUUUCAUCAUUAGUAGUAUAUAAAGAACACAAGACUUUAUAUGCUCAGUGUCAGCUGUCAUUUGUUUAUUUAAUAAAAUGUAUAUACCUCUUCUUCAUUAAAAAAGCCUUCAAAGUGGUUUAC